GCCUUUUGGGUUAGUGGCAUAGAUUCAUUUUAGCUGCCUAUCGGGUCAGUGGAAUAGACCCACAAGAAAGAGGAGAAUCCCUUGUCAUGAAGACCUCAGGGUUCUCCGAUUUGGAUGCAUCUGUUCAAAAACCAGCCUGCAUACAAGCGAUGCAGGAGAAGGAUCUCUUACGGAGAUCCCCAAAGCCAGCCCUGAUUCAACUGGCAAGGUUAACUCCCACUUAUCUGUGGCCUCCCAGACACCAUAAAGACACAUGUAGCUACUGUCCAAGACCACAGACAAACUGCCUGUGCUAUGAAUACUGCCCUGGAUGCCACACAGCUGGCUCAUCUUGUUUGCCAGAACUUUGUGGCUACCUCCACAUACUGAUUUAGUUUGGGAUGCUGUCCUCAGAUCGCUUCAGGCUAGGUACCUGACAACUUUGGACAAUUUUGGAGGGAGGUACCUGCCUGGGUACCUUCACUUCCCUUCGCUGAUCAUGAUUUGAAAAUCUUUUGGGCUAGCUCCAAAUACAGAACUGCUUGUCAACACCACCUGAAGACCCCUCCGCGUUAAGUCCCUCACAAUUUUGGCUCUACUUUGGAGGGAGCUGCAUGCCUGCUAGCUACCAUUGCCUCCUCCAGGGAAGCUUCUGCAAACGUUGGGGAUUCUGCCUGAGACACAUUUAGCUCUGGGGACCGGCUGCAAAGCCCUUCAGGGCAGGGACACCACAACUUUGGACAAGUUUAGACGGAAGUGUAUGCCUGGUAGCUACCCUUGCCUUCUCACCUUGGCAUGCUUCUAGAAAAAAAGAUUUGGCUUCCUCCAAGAGAGAUUUUUUCGUUGUGGAUCCUAAACUUGGAUCCCUCUAGGCUAGGUAACAGAGAAUUUUGGCUAAUUUGGAGGUUGCUACAUGCCCGGUAGCUACCUUUGCCUCCACCGCAUUGUACUUAUG